CUCUGCCCUCAGCCGCUCAAGAGUGAGCGGUGAAGCCGAGGCUUGUCCCUUCUCCCCGUCAGAACGGGGAGAAGGUCGCGGCAGC
rnacentral:sRNA from 1 species